UGAUUAUAUUUGAGAAAAUGAGGAGAAUGAUUGUUGAAGUGGGUUGGCUUAUGCUCUUGCUUGCCACCGCUGCAAAUGUGGUGAUGAGUUCACAGACCAAUCAACCUCUCUGCAUACCCAAAGAGAGACAGGCUCUCCUCACCUUUAAGCAAACUCUAGAUGAUACUUGGUUUGGUUAUCUCUACUCCUGGACCAACAGAAGCGCCGACCAAAACUGCUGCGAUUGGAACAGAAUCACUUGUGACAACCAAAGCAAUCAUGUCAUUUCCAUUGAUACUAGUUGGAUUCGCACAGUUGGUGGUGAGCUUGACUCUUCCUUGGCUGAGCUGCAACAUUUGAAUCACUUGGACCUCUAUGCGAUGAACAUUCGUCGGAUUCCCAAGUUUAUUGGGUCUUUGAAAGAGCUUACAUAUCUUGAUCUUGCAGAUAAUGAGAUUAACUCGCUUCCAGAUUUUAUUGGGUCUUUGAAAGAACUUACAUAUCUUGAUCUUGCAAGGAAUAACAUCAGUGUGGUUCCAGAUUUUAUUGGCUCUUUGAAAGAGCUUACAUAUCUCAAUCUUGCAGGGAAUAAUAUCAGUGCGGUUCCAAAGUUUAUUGGCUCUUUGAAAGAGCUUACAUAUCUGGAUCUUGCAUGGAAUAACAUCAAUGCGGUUCCAAAGUUUAUUGGCUCUUUGAAAGAGCUUACAUAUCUCGGUCUUGCGGGAAAUCCUAUCACUGGAAUUAUUCCUCCACAACUUGGAAAUCUCACCAAAUUGCAAACUCUUGAUCUUUCAAGCACUUCCCAGAUGAGUAAUUAUGAAUGGAUCUCUCAUCUUACUUCUUUAGAGACCUUAACACUAUCCGAAGUGAAUUUCUCUGUAGCAGGGCUUCAAUCAUUUAAAGGGGCACCUUUCUUGUCAAGCUUAUCCAUAUCAAAUUGUCUGCUUCCCAAGGUAGAUAUUUCAUUUCUUUCCCAUACAAAUGAUUCCUUUCAUUUUCUCCAAUCUCUUGAGCUAUAUGACAAUUAUAUACAUCCUUUAGCAAUUACAUGGUUGUUAAAUUCUAGUGUUCACCUUACACGACUUUCUCUCACAGACAACAUCAUAAAUGGUUCCUUUCCAAAUUCCUUUGAACAAACAAAAUCACUUCAAUUUGUUGAUUUGUCAUCUAAUGAUGUUGGAAGUGGUGUACCAAAUUCAUUAGGAAACCUUACCAAUCUUAAAGAAUUGGAUUUGUCUUCUAACAAUCUUGGUGGAACAUUACAUGAUCUUCUACAAAAUCUAUCAGGUUCCACCAAGAAUUCAUUAGAAAUUUUACACUUGAGUUCUAACCAACUUGAAGGGUUAAUUCUUGAUGACACUGAAAAUAUUUUUCCAUCUUUGAGAGAGUUAUAUCUUGAUAAUAAUCAGUUGGAAGGUCCUUUUCUUAGUGGUUUAAAAAGAUUUCCUAGUCUUGAAAUUUUGGAUUUGGACGAUAAUAAGCUGACAGGACUAUUGCCUGAUCUUUCGUCAAUGCCAAAUUUGACAAGUUUUAGUGCAUCUAACAAUACGUUCAAUCAUAUUUCUAGUGAAAGUAUUGGGAAGCUUGAUUAUCUUCGUACUUUAGAUAUUUCCUCAAACUCUCUUACUGGCGUUAUGAACCUACAGUGUCCCAAAUUGAAAACACUAAAUUUAUCAUAUAACUCAGCUUUGAAAUUCAAUUCCAAUUGGAUCCCCUCAUUUCAGCUAAAAUUCAUAUAUAUGAGUUCUUGUAACUUAGGUCCAAAAUUUCCUAGUUGGCUCCAAACCCAAACAAAUAUCGAGCAUCUAGACAUUUCCAAUAAUUCUAUUUCUGGUCCUGUUCCUUCUUGGUUCACAAAUAUAACUUCCAGCUUGAAUUACUUAAAUAUGUCCAAAAAUAAUCUUAGUAGCACCUUGCCUAAUUUUCCAGUACAAUCAUCAUAUAAGACAACAGUUGACUUAAGUUUCAACCAAUUCCAAGGUUCUGUCCCACCGUCUCUUUCCAUCAAUGCAACACGUUUGUUUCUCUCCAACAAUGCAUUUACCGAGUUUAGGUAUUUUCUAUGUGAAGCCAAAGAGGAGAGAAAGAAAGCAUACUUGAUUGACCUUUCCCAUAAUUAUUUAUCUGGAAACCUGCCUGAUUGUUGGGAGAGUUUCCCAAAUUUGGUUGUUUUAAAUUUAGGAUAUAAUAUGUUGUCUGGCCAUAUUCCAAGCUCAAUUACUAUGAGAAAUAUUGCUACUCUGCAAUUGAGGCAUAAUAACUUCUCUGGAACUUUGCCUUCCUCAUUUGAAGAUAACACUUCACUUCAAGUUCUAGAUUUGACGAAUAAUACUUUGGAAGGGACAAUACCACCAUGGAUUGGAGAAAAACACAAUUUGGUUUUUCUUAGUUUGAGGUCAAAUAAAUUUUAUGGAAGUAUACCAUUGAAUCUUUGUCAUCUUACUCAAAUCCAAAUAUUAGAUUUAUCUGCGAAUGAUUUAUCAGGAGCCAUUCCUUCUUGCAUUCAAAAUUUCACAGCAAUGGUUCAAAUAACGGAUUAUCAAGAAACUGCCCUCUCCACAAAUAUAGGUUUCGCUAGUUUCGCUAGUUUCGCUAGUCCUUAUAACCGCGAUGGUGGUAAUGAAUAUUAUGAAAAUAUUGCCUCAAUCACUUGGAAAGGAAAAGAACACGAAUAUAAGAAGAAUUUGGGAUUAUUAAGAAUUAUUGACUUAUCAAGUAACAAGUUGAAUGGAGAGAUUCCUAUUGAAGUGGCUGUUCUUUCUCAAUUGGUUCUACUGAAUCUAUCAAGGAAUAAUUUGAGUGGAAGAAUUCCUGAAAAGAUUGGGAACGUGAUGAAGCUAGAAGUCCUUGAUUUGUCCCACAACAAAUUAUAUGGUCCAAUUCCCACAAGCUUGGCUAAAGUAUCUUUUUUGAGUUACUUGGAUCUGUCAUAUAAUCAAUUGUCAGGAAGAAUCCCUGAUGGUGGUACUCAAUUACAAACCUUCAAUGCUUCUAUAUAUUCCAUGAAUCCUGGACUCUGCGGACCUCCCUUAUCAAGUUCUUGCCCAGGAGAUGAGACAUUGCAUGAUCCAUCAUAUUCAGCUUACGACAAUGAAGGAGAUGAUGAAAAUGGUAGACACUGGUUUGACUUGCCAUGGUUUUACAAGGGAACUGGAGUUGGAUUUAUUAUCGGAUUUUGUGGCAUUUGUGGAAAUUUAUUGAUCAACACAUCUUGGAGACUCUCUUAUUUUAAGUUGAUGCAUGAAAUAGGAGAUUGGCUUUAUGUGAUAAUCAUCGUUAAAUGGGCUGUGUUGCGGAGAAAACUAUCUUUGCAUUAACUAUUCUAAUCUGCAGGACAUGCACAACAUUCUCUCUUUGUGAAGAUAAAGAAGUAUCUUACCAAGAUUUGCUCUUGGCUUUUGGUGGCGAUGAGUGCAUGCGUCCAAGGAUUGUCCUUGCUCGAUCCUUAACUCUGUCAAAAGCUACAACUGAGCAAUGUCUCCAUGUCAUUUAUGAAGUUCCAGCUUUGGUUUUGUUUUAGGUUCCGUUCGCUAUUGUUAUUGCUUGUAGUUUUGUUUGGUCUUUAGUAUGUGUUUUUGUUGUGUCGUUUUGGACCUCUAUUUUCAGAGCUCAUUUCUACAAAGAAAAAAAAAAAGGCAAUCAGUCUCAAAUAAACUCUCUUUUUGGUUUGGGUGUAAUACAAAAUCCUACAAUUUCAUCCAAUAUAUUUAAUAAUUAAACCAACUAAA